rnacentral:sRNA from 1 species
AGAUGUGAGGGAAAUCUGGUUGUGACAUCUGUUGCCUCAUUGAUCCCUUGGGUUAAUUCUGCUAAUCUUACUGGCUGGAUUCGGGGGUGUCCCCUAACUCUGUCACUGCUCCAUAUGUGUCUCUCCCCAAACUGAGCUCAAAGAGGACAAUCUUCCCUGAUACAAACAGGGUCUUACUAAGUUGCCAAGGUUGGUCUCGAACUUGCUUUGUAGCCAGGAAAGCCUUGAAUUAUGAUCCUCCCGCCUCAGCUUCCUUAGUAGCUUUGA